UGCUAUGGGCAAACCUUCCGAAAGGUAGGGACGCAAAGUUUUGAGUCUAAAGCUAUAAAAGCUAUGAUUGUCAGGCUGCU
rnacentral:ncRNA from 1 species